ACGAUCCCUAGCUGGUCUGAGAGGAUGACCAGCCACACUGGAACUGAGACACGGUCCAGACUCCUACGGGAGGCAGCAGUGGGGAAUAUUGCACAAUGGGCGCAAGCCUGAUGCAGCCAUGCCGCGUGUAUGAAGAAGGCCUUCGGGUUGUAAAGUACUUUCAGCGGGGAGGAAGGUGUUGUGGUUAAUAACCGCAGCAAUUGACGUUACCCGCAGAAGAAGCACCGGCUAACUCCGUGCCAGCAGCCGCGGUAAUACGGAGGGUGCAAGCGUUAAUCGGAAUUACUGGGCGUAAAGCGCACGCAGGCGGUCUGUCAAGUCGGAUGUGAAAUCCCCGGGCUCAACCUGGGAACUGCAUUCGAAACUGGCAGGCUAGAGUCUUGUAGAGGGGGGUAGAAUUCCAGGUGUAGCGGUGAAAUGCGUAGAGAUCUGGAGGAAUACCGGUGGCGAAGGCGGCCCCCUGGACAAAGACUGACGCUCAGGUGCGAAAGCGUGGGGAGCAAACAGGAGUAGAUACCCUGGUAGUCCACGCCGUAAACGAUGUCGACAUUGGAGGAUGUGCCCCUUGAGGCGUGCCUUCCCCCAGCUAACACAGUUAAAUCCACCCCCCUGAGGGAGUACAGCCCGCAAGGUUAAAACUCGAAUGAUAUUGACUGGGGGCCGGCACAAGCGGUGGGAGCAUGAUGUUGUAGUUUUUAUGCAGCCGCGAAAGAGCCUUUACCCUCUUCUUUGUCAUCCCGGAUGACCUUAGCACGAAGAUACGAUUGGUUGGCCUUCCUGCUACUGCGGAAAACUAGGUAGCUGGGGUGGUUUGAUCAGCCACCCUCCAUCCUUCCUGACUUGGUUGGGAUUAUUUUUUCCUUCCAACCGACCGGGGAACCCACUUAUCCAACCUUAAUUGGCCAUUUGGGUGCCGGACCAAGGCACCCUCACCAGAAUAAAAUUGACAGUUAAAAUCCGCCUCGGAUAGCCAUCCGUCGGGGAAUAAAAGGGUGCGGGGGCAUUCUGUUUUUCCCUUUUUUCCGGGGGUGGGGUCUUUCCGACACCCCUCCUCCCCCCAAAACACCCGUGGGUGGCGAGAAAAUUUGAGCGCCGGAAAAAGGGGGGACAGCCCACCUAUACCCCCAAUUCCCCAAAAAUAAACCUCCUAGACCCGUGCCCCAUUUGGGGGGGAGGGGGUUGCGGGGAAAAUAGGGGAGA
rnacentral:rRNA from 1 species